rnacentral:misc_RNA from 1 species
AAACGACGUUAUGCCUGAAAGUAAUGGUUUACACACGACGUUGUAAAACGACGUUAUGCAUGAAAGUAAUGCUCACAACUUCCCUCUAGACCUAGGUGCUAUCGAAGUUCCAUUUACAAAUGGAUAAGACUUCCCUAUUAAAUUAAUGUAUACGAAUCGUUGAAGGAGCAAUACCCAAUAUCUUGUUUUAGCAAGAUAUUGGUUAUUCCCCGCCCUUGUUUGAUUCUUUUUUUUUUAUAAUUAACGACGAGAUUGAUUAUCGUUUCUCGCAUGUCUCGCGAAAGUCAGAGUAGGCGCAAAUUCUCCCAAUUUGUGACCUACCAUACGAUCUGUUAUAUAAAUAGGUAAAUGUUCCUUUCCAUUAUGAAUAGCGAUUGUAUGGCCAAUCAUUGUGGGUAUAAUGGUAGAUGCCCGAGACCAAGUUACUAUUAUUUCUUUCUCCUCUCUCAUGUUGAGUUUUUCCAUUUUUCCCGAUAAAUGAUUAGCUACAAAAGGAUUUUUUUUUAGUGAACGUGUCACAGCUGAUUACUCCUUUUUUUACAUUUUAAAGAUUGGCAUUUUAUGUCCAAUAUCUCGAUCUAAGUAUGAAGGUAAGAAUAAAUACAAUAAUGAUGAAUGGAAAAAAWMRAAAAUCCUUUACCUAGAUAAGGGGCGGAUGUAGCCAAGUGGAUCAAGGCAGUGGAUUGUGAAUCCCCAUGCCCGCCUGUGUGAAAUUGUUA